GUGGGGAAUAUUGGACAAUGGGCGAAAGCCUGAUCCAGCCAUGCCGCGUGUGUGAAGAAGGUCUUCGGAUUGUAAAGCACUUUAAGUUGGGAGGAAGGGCAGUAAGUUAAUACCUUGCUGUUUUGACGUUACCGACAGAAUAAGCACCGGCUAACUUCGUGCCAGCAGCCGCGGUAAUACGAAGGGUGCAAGCGUUAAUCGGAAUUACUGGGCGUAAAGCGCGCGUAGGUGGUUUUGUAAGUUGGAGGUGAAAUCCCCGGGCUCAAACUGGGAACUGCCUCCCAAACUGCAUGACUAGGAUACGGUAGAGGGUAGUGGAAUUUCCUGUGUAGCGGUGAAAUGCGGAGAUAUAGGAAGGAACACCAGUGGCGAAGGCGACUACCUGGACUGAUACUGACACUGAGGUGCGAAAGCGUGGGGAGCAAACAGGAUUAGAAACCCCUGUAGUCC
rnacentral:rRNA from 1 species